UUGCCCCUACGGGGGGCAGCAGUGGGGGAUAUUGCACAAUGGGGGGAACCCUGAUGCAGCGACGCCGCGUGGGUGAAGAAGCGCCUCGGCGCGUAAAGCCCUGUCAGCAGGGAAGAAAAUGACGGUACCUGAAGAAGAAGCCCCGGCUAUCUACGUGCCAGCAGCCGCGGUAAUACGUAGGGGGCAAGCGUUAUCCGGAUUUACUGGGUUUAAAGGGGGCGCAGACGGCGAUGCAAGCCAGGAGUGAAAGCUCGGGGCC
rnacentral:rRNA from 1 species